UACGGGGGGUGCGAGCGUUGUCCGGAAUCACUGGGCGUAAAGGGCGCGUAGGUGGUUUGAUAAGGGUGUGGUGAAAGCCCGGGGCUCAACCCCGGAAGCGCAUCCGAUACGACGGCGCUCGAGGACGGGAGAGGAGCGCGGAAUUCCCGGUGUAGAGGUGAAAUUCGUAGAUAUCGGGAGGAACACCAGUGGCGCAGGCGGCGCUCUGGACCGACCCUGACGCUGAGACGCGAAAGCGUGGGUAGCAAACAGG
rnacentral:rRNA from 1 species